GGAGGUGUGCGAGAGUUGGCUGAAUCGGGCAGUCUCGAAAACUGCUGUGCCGGAAACGGCACCGAAGGUUCGAAUCCUUCCACCUCCG
rnacentral:tRNA from 5 species